rnacentral:rRNA from 1 species
UACAGAGGGUGCGAGCGUUAAUCGGAAUUACUGGGCGUAAAGCGUGCGUAGACGGUUAUUUAAGUCGGGUGUGAAAGCCCCGGGCUCAACCUGGGAAUUGCAUUCGAGACUGAAUAGCUAGGGUACGGUAGAGGGAAGUGGAAUUUCCGGGUGUAGCGGUGAAAUGCGUAGAUAUCGGAAGGAACAUCAGUGGCGAAAGCGACUUCCUGGACCAGUACCGACGUCAGGCACGAAAGCGUGGGGAGCAAACAGG